ACUCAAAGGAAUAGACGGGGGCCCGCACAAGCGGCGGAGCGUGUGGUUUAAUUCGAUGCUACACGAAGAACCUUACCCAGGCUUGACAUGUUCGUGGUAGGGAAGGGAAACCGGACCGACCCGCAAGGGAGCGAGCACAGGUGCUGCAUGGCUGUCGUCAGCUCGUGCCGUGAGGUGUUAGGUUAAGUCCUGUAACGAGCGCAACCCGCGUCGUCAGUUACAAGUGUCUGACGAGACUGCCGGUUUCAAGCCGGAGGAAGGUGCGGAUGACGUCAAGUCAGCAUGGCCUUUAUGCCUGGGGCGACACACACGCUACAAUGGGCGGCACAAUGGGACGCGAAAGGGUGACCUGGAGCCAAUCUCCCAAAGCCGUUCUCAGUUCGGAUUGGAGGCUGCAACCCGCCUCCAUGAAGCCGGAGUCGCUAGUAACCGCGCGUCAGCUAUAGUGCGGUGAAUACGUUCCCGGGCCUUGUACACACCGCCCGU
rnacentral:rRNA from 1 species